rnacentral:rRNA from 1 species
UACGGAGGGUGCGAGCGUUGUCCGGAAUCACUGGGCGUAAAGGGCGCGUAGGCGGCCCGGUAAGUAGGGGGUGAAAUCUUGCGGCUCAACCGCAAGGCUGCCUUCUAAACUGCCAGGCUCGAGCACAGUAGAGGCAGGUGGAAUUCCCGGUGUAGCGGUGGAAUGCGCAGAGAUCGGGAAGAACAUCGGUGGCGAAGGCGGCCUGCUGGGCUGUUGCUGACGCUGAGGCGCGACAGCGUGGGGAGCAAACAGG